AUAGGUCUGCGGCUGAUUAGGUCGUUGGUGGGGUAAUGGCCCACCAAGCCGAUGAUCGGUACGGGUUGUGAGAGCAAGGGCCCGGAGAUGGAACGUGAGACAAGGUUCCAGACCUACGGGGUGCAGCAGGCGCGAAACCUCCGCAAUGUACGAAAGUGCGACGGGGGGAUCCCAAGUGUUAUGCUUUUUUGUAUGACUUUUCAUUAGUGUAAAAAGCUUUUAGAAUAAGAGCUGGGCAAGACCGGUGCCAGCCGCCGCGGUAACACCGGCAGCUCGAGUGGUAGCUGUUUUUAUUGGGCCUAAAGCGUUCGUAGCCGGUUUGAUAAGUCUUUGGUGAAAGCUUGUAGCUUAACUAUAAGAAUUGCUGGAGAUACUAUUAGACUUGAAGUCGGGAGAGGUUAGAGGUACUACCGGGGUAGGGGUGAAAUCCUAUAAUCCUGGGAGGACCACCUGUGGCGAAGGCGUCUAACUGGAACGAUCUUGACGGUGAGUAACGAAAGCCAGGGGCGCGAACCGGAUUAGAUACCCGGGUAGUCCUGGCCGUAAACGAUGUGGACUUGGUGUUGGAAUGGCUUUGAGUUGUUCCGGUGCCGAAGGGAAGCUGUUAAGUCCACCGCCUGGGAAGUACGGUCGCAAGACUGAAACUUAA
rnacentral:rRNA from 1 species